ensembl:lncRNA novel transcript
GGAGUAGGCGUUGCUGGGGCUGGAGAAGGCAAAGUGCAGAGGAAGGAGGAGCCACUGCUAGUGGGUACGAGGUUUCUUCUUGGUACAAGGACUUCUACGUUCUGUCCUCCUGCAGCCAUCUAAAAUCAGCCAGAAAGGUUUAGGAUCCCAUUUCCUGUUCUUGCAUCGGCUGUCCAAGCUGCUGUUCCUCUCUCCGCAGUAAGAGGGUGUUUCUCUCCCUGUUCAAGAGGAGCACCAACACUUGAGGACAGUAUCAUCCCUAGACCUUGGCAAGAGAGACCACUGAGUGAGGCAUCCAUGGAACCCAAGGAAGAGGCCUACGAAGAACCUGCAGUCACCUUCUAGACCAUUCUCCCUCACCAAACUGUCCCCUCCAGAGAGCUGAGGACUGGAUCUUCCCAUGCUGACACCUCCAGUGGGAAAGAAAAUUCUAGAUUCAGCUCUGGGUGUCCAAGUCAUUAUGAAGGCAUAUUUGUCAAGGUGGAAGAAAAGGACAUAUUCUAUUUAGCAGUUUAAAGAAGUAAUGCAUGACUCUGAUUUGCGGCUGCAGGAUAAAUCCGAACUAUUUCAGGGAGAUGUCAUGGAGAGCUCAUCUCUCAGCAUCAAAGUUGCCUCUCCUGACUUUUGAAUUUUAAGUGUUCUGUGUGGAAGAAAAAUGGAGACAACAAAUUUCUAUGCAUGGAUUCAAAGAAUCCUCGUAAUAUACAGACUACAUUCUCCCCAGCUUUUUAUCUCUAUAUAUUCUUUUUGUUGAGUUUCAACCACAUAGGGUUGAAAUUCACCUUCCCACAUUACAUUUUUCAUCAAUAGUUGAAGACCUAUGUAUGUAAAUAUCAGGAACUAUCAGAACUCCCUGCAACAGGAAACCUGACCCCCAACUCCCCCGAAAUGCAUCAUGAUAAACAGUCACUUGCCAAAAUAACAAAUCAGCUUCCUGGAACAUGCUUGCUCAAAACCAGGAGAGGAGCUUAGAGACGUCAGCUUGACUUCUGCCUCGUACGCAGGAAGGGUGACCUUCAAAGAUCAAACAUCGUCCCAAAUCUCCCUUCAUCUUGUAGUACUCCUGCUUGUCGUAGCUCCUGUUACCAUCAGGUACUGGGCCAACCAUCCGUCAUGUCAGAAGAGAGUUGGGGACAAUCCCUGGAUUAUUUCACCUUUGCCCUGCUGGUAUAGACAAUGUGUGUUAUGGCUGGGUGACUUGCUGACUUUUACUCUGAGCAACAGCUUUGUCAGAGUAAACUAAAACAGAGACUUCAGAGCAUAAUAAAAUAUGACAUUUUUUCUGUAUAGAACUAAAGACACGGGGGAGAGAGAACAACUUAAUUAAAAAGACAGUGCCCUUUCA